rnacentral:rRNA from 1 species
UUAGAACGUCGUGAGACAGUUCGGUCCCUAUCUGCCGUGGGCGCUGGAGAAUUGAGGGGGGCUGCUCCUAGUACGAGAGGACCGGAGUGGACGCAUCACUGGUGUUCGGGUUGUCAUGCCAAUGGCACUGCCCGGUAGCUAAAUGCGGAAGAGAUAAGUGCUGAAAGCAUCUAAGCACGAAACUUGCCCCGAGAUGAGUUCUCCCUGAGACUUUAAGUCUCCUGAAGGAACGUUAAAGACGAUGACGUUGAUAGGCCGGGUGUGUAAGCGCAGCGAUGCGUUGAGCUAACCGGUACUAAUGAACCGUGAGGCUUAACCUUACAACGCCGAAG